CCAGGCAGUCAAAGAGAAAUGGCAACAACAACAAAAAAGAUGCUCUACUCUUCUUCAGCUCAGCAUUGACCUGAAGACUCCUCUUAAUAUAAAGAAAGUCACUUUCAGGUCUGGGGACAUGGACAAGCUCAGAGUGCAGCACUUGGUCAUUUUGACUUCAUAUUGUGGCACAGAGACUGGAUCAUGAACAAAAAUGUCAAUGACAAGCUUGUUAAUUAUCUCCCGGAUGCCGAAAUCAUAUUUCUGCCGAGGAUUGUGGGUCAUAUCACCAACGAAACUGGCAACCACUUCAUUCUAUGGGUUCUGGAUUUCUCCAAAA